rnacentral:lncRNA from 1 species
UUCCUUAAACAAGAACUAACAAGAACCCUAGAGAACAAUUAGAAAAAACGAAAGAGCAUCUUUCUUUUAGAGUUUUAAUGCCCAAAAGUAGUGCAUAAAAAAAUGGAGCAAAACCUCCCAAAAAUAAGCUCAAAAAUUCAUGAAAACACAAUCAUAGAGCAGCUCUAAAACCUCACGAUUCCAACACAUUAAAUCAUCACUAGAACACCUUGAAACGUUAGCAAAAACAGCCACAAAAAUUUGCCUUGAAACAGCUGGACAUUAAAAUAACCCAAAAUUCAGUGAAAACCGGUCUAAAGAAGCAGCAAAAAUGCACCAGUAAAAUGACCUUCCAAUCUCCAUGAAAACCGGCCAUUUUUGACCCGAAACAGUUCCAAAAUCAGCCUUAAAUCCAGUUGAAAACCUCCUAAAAUCAGCCAAAAAACGCCAACAAAAUUGAACCAAAAAUCAGCUGCUUUCCUUCACCGAAAAUGCCCAAAAAUCCAGAUAUAGAUCAUCUCCAAAUCCCACCCUAAAUUCAGUAAGAACAACCACAAACUAAGCUCCAUAACAGUCCAUAAACCACUAUUAAAGUAACUUGAGAGCACCACAAGGGUUUAUUUGUGAGUUUAGUUUCGGAAGCUUUUAUUUGAGGUUGUCAACGAGAUUUUCCGGCCAUCGAAGGGUAGCCCGUGGUUCCUGUUCGAGUUCCGUCCAUUGUCGGGUUUCAAGACAAAUAGCAGCUUCACUUUUGAGGUCCAAGUCUCUCAUUUUGUCAUAAUAUUUUAUUUCUUGAAAUGAAGAUAAUAUGAGUUCUUUGUGAAUUUGGUGUUACUGUUGAGUUUAUGGUGUGUUUAUUAAAUAACUUCUUUUGUUUAGAUGUUAAUGCUUG